AGCGAACGUUUGCGGCGGGCCUAACACAUGCAAGUCGAACGCACUAGCAAUAGUGAGUGGCGCACGGGUGCGUAACACGUGGGUAAUCAACCCUUCAGCCUGGGAUAACGACUCGAAAGGGUCGCUAAUACCGGAUACGGCGCGAGAGGCUUCGGCUUCUCACGAGAAAGCCACGCAAGGGGCACUGAAGGACGAGCCUGCGGCCCAUCAGCUAGUUGGUGAGGUAAGAGCUCACCAAGGCUAAGACGGGUAGCUGGUCUGAGAGGAUGAUCAGCCACACUGGAACUGAGACACGGUCCAGACUCCUACGGGAGGCAGCAGUGGGGAAUAUUGCGCAAUGGGGGAAACCCUGACGCAGCAACGCCGCGUGAGUGAGGAAGGACUUCGGUCUGUAAAGCUCUGUUAAUGUGGAAAAAUGGUAGUUGGUCUAAUAGGCCGAUUAUUUGAUGGUACACAUAGAGGAAGCACCGGCUAACUUCGUGCCAG
rnacentral:rRNA from 1 species